rnacentral:rRNA from 1 species
CCUACGGGUGGCAGCAGUGGGGAAUAUUGGACAAUGGGGGAAACCCUGAUCCAGCGACGCCGCGUGGGUGAAGAAGGCCUGCGGGUUGUAAAGCCCUUUCGGUAGGGACGAAACUGACGGUACCUGCAGAAGAAGCCCCGGCCAACUACGUGCCAGCAGCCGCGGUAAUACGUAGGGGGCGAGCGUUGUCCGGAUUUAUUGGGCGUAAAGAGCUCGUAGGCGGCUUGGCAAGUCGGGUGUGAAACCUCCAGGCUCAACCUGGAGACGCCACUCGAUACUGCUAUGGCUAGAGUCCGGUAGGGGACCACGGAAUUCCUGGUGUAGCGGUGAAAUGCGCAGAUAUCAGGGGGAACACCGGUGGCGAAGGCGGUGGUCUGGGCCGGCACUGACGCUGAGGAGCGAAAGCGUGGGUAGCGAACAGGAUUAGAUACCCUUGUAGUC